AGCAGUGGGGAAUAUUGGACAAUGGGCGCAAGCCUGAUCCAGCAAUGCCGCGUGUGUGAAGAAGGUCUUCGGGUUGUAAAGCACUUUCGACGGGGACGAUGAUGACGGUACCCGUAGAAGAAGCCCCGGCUAACUUCGUGCCAGCAGCCGCGGUAAUACGAAGGGGGCUAGCGUUGCUCGGAAUGACUGGGCGUAAAGGGCGCGUAGGCGGCUUGGACAGUCAGAUGUGAAAUUCCUGGGCUUAACCUGGGGGCUGCAUUUGAUACGUUCAGGCUAGAGUGUGAAAGAGGGUCGUGGAAUUCUCAGUGUAGAGGUGAAAUUCGUAGAUAUUGGGAAGAACACCGGUGGCGAAGCGGCGACCUGGUUUCAUGACUGACGCUGAG
rnacentral:rRNA from 1 species